rnacentral:rRNA from 1 species
UACGUAGGGGGCAAGCGUUGUCCGGAUUUAUUGGGCGUAAAGAGCGUGUAGGCGGCCGUACAGGUCAGCUGUGAAAACUCGAGGCUCAACCUCGAGACGUCGGUUGAAACCGUACGGCUAGAGUCCGGAAGAGGAGAGUGGAAUUCCCGGUGUAGCGGUGAAAUGCGCAGAUAUCGGGAAGAACACCCGUGGCGAAGGCGGCUCACUGGACCAUUACUGACGCUGAGGCACGAAAGCUAGGGGAGCAAACAGG